AGUUUUGCGCAGUGGCAGUAUCGUAGCCAAUGAGGUUUAUCCGAGACAGAAUUAUUGCUAAUUGAAAACUUUUUCCAAAGCGAGAUGGGGUAGCUAUAUUAAUUUCACACAAAGCAGACUCUCAAUCAGGGAAUGUCAUCAGGGAU
rnacentral:snRNA from 1 species